UGCCAGCCGCCGCGGUAAUACGAAAGGGGCUAGCGUUGUUCGGAAUUACUGGGCGUAAAGCGCACGUAGGCGGCAAUGUAAGUUGGGGGUGAAAGCCCGGGGCUCAACCCCGGAAGUGCAUUGGAAACUGGCGAACUUGAGUACGGGAGAGGAAAGUGGAAUUCCGAGUGUAGGGGUGAAAUCCGUAGAUAUUCGGAGGAACACCAGUGGCGAAGGCGGCUUUCUGGACCGAUACUGACGCUGAGACGCGAAAGCGUGGGGAGCAAACAGGAUUAGAUA
rnacentral:rRNA from 1 species